AGUGCCAGGCGGGAUUCCAGCCGGGCACUGAUGGGGAGUGUGUCGACGUGGAUGAGUGCUCCAACGGGACCCUGUGCGGCCCCCACGCCACCUGUCACAACCUGCCCGGAUCCUUCCAGUGCGCCUGCGACCCCGGCUACGAGACCGCCCCACACGGACACCACU